rnacentral:lncRNA from 1 species
AAAUAUUUAGAAAACAAGUAGAAAAGGCUUUGGAAUCGCUCGACUCGCUAAAUUCUUUGUUUUGAAACAAAUUUUGAAAUAUUUUGCUCCAAUACGUAAAGCGGUGGGGUAUUAGGCAACAUUAAUUAUUCUCUCCCCUUGAAUCGGAUUACUCAUCCUUAUGGGAGGGGAUUAUAUCCUUCGUUAUUAGUCCGGCGAGUUAAACAAAACCCCAAGAAUGAAAAACUAACAUAUUUGGCAUCAUAUGAAGUUUUAGAGAUUCUAAUAACACCUUACAGUAAAAUCCCCAGAGAUGAAUGACGUGUUGGUUCAAGACUGGUCCGAAAUACUCAAGAGAAGUUUUCAACUUGACUUUGAGGACGGACAUAAGCCCUCCUGGUUGAACGGGAAAGAAAUUGUAUGGUACACAUUGCGCAUUUUCUGUCCUCCUUUCAGUGUGAUGUCUAUUCAUAAGCCUCAGGCCCCAACACCAGAACUCUGCCAUGCCCCCCCCCCCCCCCCGCCUCCUCGAUUUGCAAGGAUUGCCCUCUCCGCCCCGCAUCUCUCUCUCUCUCUCUCACACACACACACACACGCUCAUAUUUAUAUUUAUAUGCGAGGGUUUCAGAUCCCAAUCAGGGAUUGAGAUCUCAUAAAGGAAUCGCAACUAUGGGUCUAACGGUGGCGAGGGUUUCUCAUGGACGGGAGUGGGGUGGGGGCGUUUAGGGUUUAUGGCGAACGGGAGGCAGAGAAAGGGAGUGAGGCGGCGGGAUGUGGGGUGGCGGCUCGCAUCGGAGAGCGUUCUUAGGGUGGUGGGAAACGGUACGGGCAGGGCGGCGGUGGUAGCUAGGUGGCAGAUGGGGUUUGGGCUUGGGCUUGGACUUGGGCUUGGGUUAUGAAAGUUGACGGUCAGCCGGUUGGGCCAAUUUUGGGGUUUUGAAAGUGUACUGUGAAGAUAUAAGCGUGGACCGUGGUGAUUUUAUUUCAACCCAAGAAAUUUCUCACUACCUCUAUUUUCUCUUGGUAAACUUCACCGAGGAAAGUUUUUAAAUUAGCAUUAAUAUAUUUUUUUAAAAUUAUUAUUAAUAUUUUUUUUGAGCUAAUUUUUUGAACAAAAACUAUAAGACCAUCCUUAUUUUUAGAGUUUUUCUAUGUCAUUCUUGGCUCAAUAAUGUGAUAAGAAUGUUUAUACAUUUUAUAGAGAUCAUCGAGUAGAAAAGCUAUGUAAAAAAUUAGAUUGAUCAACAUCGGUUGAUAAUCACAUAUUUGAUCUCAAUUGCUAGAAAUUAUACUUAUUGCCCAUUUUUUAAGAAAAAUAUAUAAGAGCCGAAAGGUUGCAAUAACAUAAUUUGUACCAACAAGUUUCCACAUUGCGCUCGUAGUAAGUUUGUACAACCACCACCCUAAAUCCAUCUCUGGCCAAGGAAAAUUAUAGUGCCUUGAUUAAGCGCUUUAUAUUCUAAGGAAGAAAGAAUUUUUGGCUUAAUUUUUAAAAUUAAUUUUGCAAAAAAAGUUUUAACAAAUUUGUUUAGUUGAUAAUUUUUGAAAUUUAUUUUAAAAAAAUAUUAAAAAGAUGUCUUAUAAUUCUCAAAAGUUAUUUUUGUUAAAAAUUAAUACAUAAAAAAUAAUGAAUGUUUUUUCCCUCAAAAAUAAUUUCUUUUUUGCGCCAUGCAUAAGAUAGAUAAAAUAGAAUCAUAAUUAAUUGAUUAUAUGGAAAAAUUAACGAAAACAAUAUUGAAUUUUAAAUAAAAAUCAAUUUAAAAUUAAGUUGUAUUUAAUUACGUGCUUUAAUUGAUAAGAAAUGUUUUUUUUGUAUUUUGAUGUGUAGAUGGGAGUGGUGGAGGGACAGAAACGCAUCCUAUUUGGUACCCCAUGACAAAUUCCUAAAUUUUUCCCUAAUGGGUCCGUUUGUAGUAAUGUUUUUUUAUAGCUUUUUAGGUUUUCAUGUUUUUUUGUUUUUAGUGAAUUUUUUUUACUAUUUGAUCAAAAAUUUAUAUUUUUUUAAUUUCUCAAGACGAGAAGACUUCAAAAACAUAAUUUGUUUUUAUUUAAUUUAAAAAAAAAAUCACUAAAGGUAAAAAGAAACGACUUUAAGAUGAUCUUUUUGGUUAAAAAUAGUUUUUUUUUCCCUCCUUCAUGCACUAAUGCCCCUAAAUUUGAUAGUGACACUAGAGGACGUCCAAUAAGGGUCCAUUAAGAUGGAGAUUGAGAACACUAGGGGUCCGAUUGACAAUUGAUAUAUUGAGACCAUAAAGGCACCAAGCAAAAUCAGCAGAUGUAUAGGGACCAAAAGUAUAAUUAGUCUGAAGUUAUAAUACAAUAAAUGGUCCUUUUAUGCAUUUUAUAUCACUUUUGUCUUCCAAAUUUUAAUUUUUCCAAUUUUAUCCUUGAAAUUUAUUAUCCAAUUUCAAAACCUAUUCAAAAAUAUAAAUUUCUGAUCCAAUUUCAAACCCUAGUCAAUAUUAUAUAUGGCUUCAGUAAUUGUGAAAAUGGCUUUAGCAUAGAUGCCUAUUAAAGAAAA